AUAUUUGUGUUCGAUGACGCUGGUGGCUGCUUACCAUGCCGUCGAACGGUACAGGACUAGCUUGCUAGUUGCUGACGAGUGGCGGACGGGUGAGUAACGCGUAGGAAUCUGCCCAUCUGAGGGGGAUACCAGUUGGAAACGACUGUUAAUACCGCAUAGUAUCUGUGGAUUAAAGGUGGCUUUUGGGCUGUCGCAGAUGGAUGAGCCUGCGUUGGAUUAGCUAGUUGGUGGGGUAAGGGCCUACCAAGGCUACGAUCCAUAGCUGAUUUGAGAGGAUGAUCAGCCACAUUGGGACUGAAACACGGCCCAAACUCCUACGGGAGGCAGCAGUGAGGAAUAUUGGACAAUGGGGGCAACCCUGAUCCAGCAAUGCCAUGUGUGUGAAGAAGGCCUUAGGGUUGUAAAGCACUUUAGUUGGGGAAGAAAGCUUUGAGGUUAAUAGCCUUGAGGAAGGACGUUACCCAAAGAAUAAGCACCGGCUAACUCCGUGCCAGCAGCCGCGGUAAUACGGGGGGUGCAAGCGUUAAUCGGAAUUACUGGGCGUAAAGGGUCUGUAGGUGGUUUGUUAAGUCAGAUGUGAAAGCCCAGGGCUCAACCUUGGAACUGCAUUUGAUACUGGCAAACUAGAGUACGGUAGAGGAAUGGGGAAUUUCUGGUGUAGCGGUGAAAUGCGUAGAGAUCAGAAGGAACACCAAUGGCGAAGGCAACAUUCUGGACCGAUACUGACACUGAGGGACGAAAGCGUGGGGAUCAAACAGGAUUAGAUACCCUGGUAGUCCACGCUGUAAACGAUGAGUACUAGCUGUUGGAGUCGGUGUAAAGGCUCUAGUGGCGCAGCUAACGCGAUAAGUACUCCGCCUGGGGACUACGGCCGCAAGGCUAAAACUCAAAGGAAUUGACGGGGACCCGCACAAGCGGUGGAGCAUGUGGUUUAAUUUCGAUGCAACGCGAAGAACCUUACCUGGU
rnacentral:rRNA from 1 species